UACGAAGGGGGCGAGCGUUGUUCGGAUUUACUGGGCGUAAAGGGCGCGCAGGCGGCGAUCUUUGUCAGGCGUGAAAGCCCCGGGCUUAACCUGGGAACUGCGCUUGGGACGGGAUUGCUGGAGACCGGGAGAGGAGAGUGGAAUUCCCAGUGUAGAGGUGAAAUUCGUAGAUAUUAGGAAGAACACCGGUGGCGAAGGCGGCCCACUGGUCCGGUACUGACGCUGAGGUGCGAAAGCGUGGGGAGCAAACAGG
rnacentral:rRNA from 1 species